rnacentral:sRNA from 12 species
GCUAUGGAGUGUCAUAUAAACUGUAGUAGCUUAGGCAAGGCAGGACACUGCGAAGUAGUGA